rnacentral:snRNA from 1 species
GUGCCUGCUUCAGCAGCACAUAUACUAAAAUUGGAACAAUAUAGAGAUUAGCAUGACCCUGGGGCACGGGUGACAUGCAAAUUCGAAAAGCGUUCCCCAUGUUU